UUUCAUUUCGCCGAUUAGAGGCUGUAUUGGUUUCUCCGGCGUACAUGGAAGUUUCGUUAGCUCGAACCAGCCUAAAGAAGGGUGUAAAAUAGUUUCUGAGGUUACGCAGAGAGGGAAAUGAGCUUGUGCCAUUGUUGUCUGGGUAUAGCGCGAAGACGAGAGAGAGAGAGUUUGAUAGAGUUUGUAUCGAAGCUACGCAUUGUUUUGUAUUGCAAUUGGGUUUUCACCAAUUCAAACGUUUCAAGCUCCAGCUUUAGCUGUGCCCUUCCUCGGUGAUGUGUUAUGGAAGAAAAAGAAAGAGAGACACUGAGAGAAAAGGAGUUAGCUUUGAAAACUGUUGAUCAUGAGUUCUCGGAUUAUACUCGGAGAGACAGUCUCGGUUCUACUCAAGAGUAUUGACAAGGUCAGAAGCGGAACUGGGAACGGCUUUAGUAAAGGAAUCUUCAUUUCUGCAGUUCACUCGGAUGAUUGCAUCUUCGAGGACCCGACAAUCAGCUUCCAGGGUACGGAAUUGUCUGAACGAAACUUGAGAUUACUGGUUCCGUUCCUCGAAGAUGCAUCCAUUGAACUGCAAAAUAGGGAGAAAAGUGGGUCGUCCCAAAGAAACUAUAUACGGGCGACAUGGAAGCUAAGGACUUACCUGAAACUUCCAUGGAGACCAUUGAUAUCGAUCAAUGGAAGUACGCUCUAUGAACUUGAUGGAGACUUCAAAGUUGUUAGGCAUGUCUAAACACUUAUAUAUACCAAGUUCUUUUGUAAUGUAUGUCGGAGCUGACAAAAACCUUCUUGUCAAAGACCACACUCAUACAUUUAUAAACAAAUGCAGCGAAAUUGGAGGUAUGUCAUCUGUUCAUUAUUCUAUUACUAUGAUGGCCUAUGUGAUUUUUGGGUUCCAUUUCCUGCAGUCUGUGUUAGUCACAAUUGAUCGCCAUGAAUGGUACGCUCCUCCACAGUUGUAUACCCGUAAUGACAGUUCUGGUUUAUGGGAUGUGAAACCUGCAAUCGAAUCGAUUGGUAAUAGUGGUUUGCCUAUAAGCCAACAUAUUCCUCUCUGCCAUCACGAUACAGAACCCUUGCAUGAAGUGAAUCUUCGUGGAGUUAAUGAUACUGCGUCUAUUAUGGAAGCCUCGAGUGGGGAUGGUUCUCAGAAUGAUUUUGGCUCAGAAGCAAAGAAACAAAGAGUGGAAGAUGGUUCUUUAGAUGGAACUAUUAACAUGUUAGAUUUGGUAUCUAUUUUUAAAGGUUCAUGUGCCACCAUCGUGCAGUCUUGAUGGUGUACAUUCACAACAUUUCUUUGGGACUGGCGUCAUUAUUUAUCAUUCUUCAAGCAUGGGGCUUGCUGUGGUGUACAAAAACACUGUAGCUAUUUCUGCAUCUGAUGUUAUGUUGUCCUUUGCUGCUUUUCCAGUCGAGAUUCCUGGAGAGGUGGUGUUUCUUUAUCCUGUUCACAACUAUGCUCUGAUUGCCUAUAAUCCGUCAGCAAUGAGUCCUGCCGGUGCUUCAGUCAUUCGUGCAGCUGAGCUACUACCUGGCAUUUCAGGCAUUCAAAGUAGGAGACCGCAUUGACGUCAAACUAAUAGAGGUGAAUGAAAAAGGUCAGCUUCGGCUUAGUUGUUGAACACAGAAACAUGGAUACUUCGUCCAAGGACCGUGCAGCUGCAGGAGCAUCAAAAGUUGCAUCUGUGGAUGAACUUGUCCUGAAGAAGAAAGAUGCCAGGAGAGCAGCCAGUGGUGACAAGCCAAUGAAAAGCAAUAGCAAGCAGUAGCAAUGAAGAAGAGAGAAGCAGUUUAGUCAUUAAUGGUGAAGCUACAAUCAGCUAGUGAAUGCAAACAGGUUCUGUGUUCAUAUCUGUUACUUUUAAGAGGAGAGUUUCAUCCAAAUCGAACCAGAAGAUAGAGACAGUGAUUUCUCUGAGUGUUAAAUAGAAUCUAUUUAUAGCGUAACAAACUGAACCGAGAUGUUUACAUUCAAUUCCUCUUCUGGUUUAGCCUUGA